rnacentral:tRNA from 1 species
AAAUCCGUCCGGGGGGUCUAAGGGAUGUCUGGCCUGCCAUCCGUGGGCCGGUAGCUCAGCCUGGGAGAGCGUCGGCUUUGCAAGCCGAAGGCUCCGGGUUCGAAUCCCGUCCGGUCCUCCACGAAGAGGUGCACAUCCCGAUCUCCGCUCGGGUUGGAAGGGUCCUAGGCCCCGAACAGGG